AUGGAUGGAGCUAAGGUGUCGCAGGAGGAUUGGCUGAACGAUAAGCUCAAGUACAUGAAUCUCAAGGAGGAUGAGGAGGAAGACGUGGUACUGGAGGAAGAUCUGGAAGAGUUGGAGAAGGAUGCUGAAUUCAUGGCGCUGGCUAGGGUUCAUACCAACAAAAAGUUCAGCCAUGGUGCCUUUUAUGGUAACAUGAGGUCGGCGUGGAACCUGGCGGAAGAAGUAGAGUUUAGGGCAAUUGAGGACAAUUUGUUUUCGGUGCAGAUGAGUUGUUUGGGAGAUUGGGAG
rnacentral:rRNA from 1 species